CACCGCCAGCGAACCCUCGACUGUCGGCCUGGAAGGCCUCGGGGACCCGGGGGUCGCACAUCUUCCUCGGGGAACGCUCGGUGCACGCGCAAGUGAAUGGACGGCUGGCUCCUGAGUGGCAGGGGGCCUUGGUACCACGAUGUGACGAGUUAGUUUGUGGCUUUCUCCGUUUCGCCUCUUGGAGGUGCUUUACGUGGUCCGGUGUGUUUGUUCAACAUCAGAGGUUAGUGGAACCGACGGGGUGCCGCGCAUAGACAGUGACUGAGGAGGGACCCCGAGGAAUGAGUAAGGAGCGAGUCGGGACAAACGCCUGGGAGGCUAGACACCCGGAGCGAGCGGAGCUUCAGAGGAUGGAGAGCCCUGCUAGUGUCUGUGCAGGACCGCAGAGGGUCAACGUUCAGUUUCAGAAGCUUCAGCAACUGCGCCUUACACAGUACCACGGGGGAUCCCUGCCUAAUGUGAGCCAGCUUCGGAGCAGCACAUCAGAGUUCCAGCCAACAAAGCAAUGUUUCCUUUUGGCAGUCCCAAGUCCCCCCUGCCCUGAGGAUUUCACACUGGAACCUACUCAGGAGAGACCAGAAUUGUGAGUCUAUAACCCUCAUGGAAGUGGUCCAUUUACAGGGACCCAGGUAUCCAUACCAGGGGGACAAGCAGGGUCCCAAAGGUCAGAAGGCCAGAGAGGAUGAGUGGCCAGCAAGGGCAGACAGAGCUUGGUCUUCCUUCCCUAAAGUGCCCAUGCCAGUGCUUAAUCUCUUCAGUAUCUCCUCGCCAUCUUGGCAUUCAUGAAAUCACUCAACAGACCCACUGGACCAGUCUGUGCCUGUUUGGGCUCUGAGUAAUUUUUGAGGUUUGUUUAGAGUUAAUUAAUUAGGGUAGUCAUUUAAAAGUCUUAAUAUGUGCAGUCAUUACAUGUUAAUUAAAAAGAAAAAAUUAAAAGCUUAGAAACAGCUCCUGAGUUAAAAUGUAACUUAAAACAAAGCUGAGAGUCUGUUGGAGCAGAGCAUUGAGGGAAGCACAGCGCAGCCUUGACUGGGUGUCUGCCAACAGCAGUGGCUCCAAUUUGUCACAGUCCUCUUUCCAUUUUGAUUACUUGCCCUGGAAUAACAAAAUUUAUGGCACCAGAGGGGACUCUGUAGUCUUUCAAUGCAUAGGUGGGAAAGUGGAAGCAAGAAAAACCAAGCAGUUAGCCA
rnacentral:lncRNA from 1 species